GGGGAUUUAGCUCAGUGGCAGAGUGCUUGCCUAGCAAGCACAAGGCCCUGGGUUCGGUCCCCAGCUCCG
rnacentral:tRNA from 1 species